rnacentral:rRNA from 1 species
AUUGAACGCUGGCGGCAGGCCUAACACAUGCAAGUCGAGCGGAGCGGCGGACGGGUGAGUAAUACCUAGGAAUCUGCCUGGUAGUGGGGGCUAACGUCCGGAAACGGGCGCUAAUACCGCAUACUAUCAGAUGAGCCUAGGUCGGAUUAGCUAGUGGGGGGGGUAAAGGCCUACCAGGGCCACGAUCCGUAACUGGUCUGAGAGGAUGUUCAGUCACACUGGAACUGAGACACGGUCCAGACUACUACGGGAGGCAGCAGUGGGGAAUAGUGGACAAUGGGCGAAAGCCUGAUCCAGCCAUGCCGCGUGGGUGAAGAAUGCCUUCGGAUUGUAAAGCACUUUAAGUUGGGAGGCGUUACCAACAGAAUAAGCACCGGCUAACUUCGUGCCAGCAGCCGCGGUAAUAC